rnacentral:lncRNA from 1 species
ACUGUUAGGUACUCUGAGAGUGGGAGUGAAGUCAAGCGAAAGCAAAAAUUAAUGUUGUAUGUCUCUCUCAUAGCCAAUUUGUAGUAAAAAUAAUAGAUUUAGUGUGUUCAAAUGACUGCGAAAUAAAUUCACGGGAAUUAUUAGGAAUGUGACAGUACAGACUCCUUUUAUAGUAAAAGUGAAAAAGAGCAGAGUGUCUGUGGCGGCUAUCUGGUGACGUUUCUCUCUGUACCUGUGCCUCGACCCUCGACCUUGCAAGGCCUAAAUUGAAAACAUGAUAGGAACCACACUGAUGGACAUUAAACAGCAAAACAUAGCUAACCUGUGUUGUCUCCGAUAGGACAAUUGUCCAACCUUCUAGACAG